rnacentral:rRNA from 1 species
AUUGAACGCUGGCGGCAUGCCUUACACAUGCAAGUCGAACGGGCUUAAGGGGCUUGCUCUUUAAGUUAGUGGCGAACGGGUGAGUAAAGUAUCGGAACGUAUCGUUAAGUGGGGGAUAACGUAGCGAAAGUUACGCUAAUACCGCAUAUUCUCUGAGGAGGAAAGCAGGGGACCGCAAGGCCUUGUGCUUAAUGAGCGGCCGAUAUCAGAUUAGCUAGUUGGUGAGGUAAAGGCUCACCAAGGCAACGAUCUGUAGCGGGUCUGAGAGGAUGAUCCGCCACACUGGGACUGAGACACGGCCCAGACUCCUACGGGAGGCAGCAGUGGGGAAUUUUGGACAAUGGGGGCAACCCUGAUCCAGCCAUGCCGCGUGAGUGAAGAAGGCCUUCGGGUUGUAAAGCUCUUUCGCGAGGAAGAAACGACACUUCUAAUAUAGGUGUGGAGUGACGGUACCUUGAUAAGAAGACACCGGCUAACUACGUGCCAGCAGCCGCGGUAAAGU